rnacentral:rRNA from 1 species
GCAUGUUCACAUGAUUAAAGGUAUUCCGGUAGACGAUGGGGAUGCGUUCCAUUAGAUAGUAGGCGGGGUAACGGCCCACCUAGUCUUCGAUGGAUAGGGGUUCUGAGAGGAAGGUCCCCCACAUUGGAACUGAGACACGGUCCAAACUCCUACGGGAGGCAGCAGUGAGGAAUAUUGGUCAAUGGGCGAGAGCCUGAACCAGCCAAGUAGCGUGAAGGAUGACUGCCCUAUGGGUUGUAAACUUCUUUUAUAAAGGAAUAAAGUCGGGUAUGCAUACCUGUUUGCAUGUACUUUAUGAAUAAGGAUCGGCUAACUCCGUGCCAGCAGCCGCGGUAAUACGGAGGAUCCGAGCGUUAUCCGGAUUUAUUGGGUUUAAAGGGAGCGUAGAUGGAUGUUUAAGUCAGUUGUGAAAGUUUGCGGCUCAACCGUAAAAUUGCAGUUGAUACUGGAUAUCUUGAGUGCAGUUGAGGCAGGCGGAAUUCGUGGUGUAGCGGUGAAAUGCUUAGAUAUCACGAAGAACUCCGAUUGCGAAGGCAGCCUGCUAAGCUGCAACUGACAUUGAGGCUCGAAAGUGUGGGUAUCAAACAGGAUUAGAUACCCUGGUAGUCCACACGGUAAACGAUGAAUACUCGUUGUUUGCGAUAUACAGCAAGCGGCC